rnacentral:rRNA from 1 species
GUAUGGGGAUCUGCCCGAUAGAGAGGGAUAACUACUGGAAACGGUGGCUAAUACCGCAUAAUGUCUACGGACCAAAGCAGGGGCUCUUCGGACCUUGCACUAUCGGAUGAACCCAUAUGGGAUUAGCUAGUAGGUGGGGUAAAGGCUCACCUAGGCGACGAUCUCUAGCUGGUCUGAGAGGAUGAUCAGCCACACUGGGACUGAGACACGGCCCAG